UUUAAUUUUUAUUUGUCUCUAAAUCCUAGGAAUAUCUAUGUUACUUGAAAUUAUUAUAAGUAGAAAAAAACCUCUCCAGAAACAGCAACAACAAGAAAAACAACGACAAGAUACACAUCACGUCGUCUCCACCAGUUGAAAAUAUUAAUACAUUACGAUAUUAUUAAGUUAUCAAUAAACAUCAAACAUAUUUCCCGACGUCAGUAUACCUUUUAGCCAAUAAUAAAUAUCCCCACUAAAGAUCCUCCUCAUGUCUUCUCUUCUCGAUCCGUCUCUGUCUUCCUCUUUGUUUCCUUCCCAUAUCUGUAUCUUCAUCUUCUCAACUCUGUCCUCUCCCCCUCCUUCUCUUAUAAUAAACAUCAUCAAUUACUUAUUUCUCAACGACGAUGCGGUUCAACCAUUAGACAUGUUCCCGCUAAACCUUUCUCGUUUGCCCUCUUCUCCGUCUGUCUGUUUCCCUCCCUUCAUCUUCUCUGCCCUCUCCUCCUCCUCCUCCUUCUCCCAUAGCAAACAUCACCAAUUACAUAUUUCUCAACGACGAUGCGGUUCAACUUUUAUACAUAUGUUCCCACUAAAUCUUUCUCGUUUGCCCUCUUCUCCGCCUGUCUGUUUUCCUGCCCUCACCUUCUCUUCAUCUCUGACAUCCUUCUCCUAUAAUAAAUAUCAUCAAUUACUUAUUUCUCAACGACGAUGCGGUUCGGCCAUUAUCCUCUUCCUCGUUUGCCUUCUUCUCCGUCUGUCUGUUAAUUUUCCUGCCCUCUUCUUCUCUUCAACUCUGACAUCCUCCUCCUCCAGUAAGCAUCACCAAUUAUAUAUUUCCUAUACGAUGAUUCGGCUUACCUAACGAAUGUCUAACUUCUCUUCCUCGUAUAUUCGCUUCUCCGUCUGUCUGUUUCCCUCCUCUCAUCUUCUCAACUCUGCCACCCUCCUCCUCCUCCUCUUCCUCCUCCUCCCGCCCAGCCAGGUGGAGGCAGAUGUUUUUUGCCAUGUAAAAUCGAGAGUGAAGAACAUUAAGAAGGCGGACUUGGCAUGCAAAUGUCGGCGUGGCUCCUCCGCUUCUCCGCUCCGCCCGGGAAUUUGCAUACAUGAAUUAACUACGAAAACCAUCACCGAGAAGCUAAUAUUUGUCGAGGUGAUGGGACGCGGCGACAGCCCUCCAACCCCGCCUCACCCCAUGCGCUACCAAGGAGGAAGAGAAGCAGGAGGAGGAAGAGGAAGAGGAAGAGGAGGAGGACGAGGGGUACGCGGCUACAGCCCUCCAACCCCGCCUCACCCCAUGCGCUAGCAAGGAGGAGGAGAAGCAGGAGGAGGAAGAGGAAGAGGAAGAGGAGGACGAGGGGUACGCGGCGACAGCCCUCCAACCUCUCGUCUCAAGUCGGUAUUCUUUUAGACACUAUCGACUCUCACAUCAGCCAUAUCUUAAGGCCGAAAAAAAGAGCCCCACGCCCGCCGCCUCUUCCCGCCGCCGCCGCCACCACCAUCGCCUCCGCCUUCACCUCCUCCUUCUGCGGCGGCUCACUGACUCCCUCUGUCCCUCACUAUAGCAAACACGAAUGAUAUAGGAUGCGGAAUGCUGAUGUAACUCUGUGUACUGGGUCCACCUUGAGGGCCAGCUGUUCCCUGAGGAGGACGUCGGGGUAGUGCGUUAUCUGGAAGGUCAGCUCGAGUUCCUGCAGCUGUUCCUCCGUGAAGAUGGUUCGGUGCCGCCGCGUCCGCUUCCCGGGAG